CGGCCGGUAGCUCAAUGAUUAGAGCUUGCCGCUCAUAACAGGGCCGGUGCCGGUUCGAGUCCGGCCCGGCCUA
rnacentral:tRNA from 1 species